CCUACGGGUGACAGCAGUGAGGAAUAUUGGUCAAUGGACGGAAGUCUGAACCAGCCAUGCCGCGUGCAGGAAGACGGCUCUAUGAGUUGUAAACUGCUUUUGUACAAGGGUAAACCUGAAUACGUGUAUUCAGCUGAAAGUACUGUACGAAUAAGGAUCGGCUAACUCCGUGCCAGCAUCCGCGGUAAUACGGAGGAUCCAAGCGUUGUCCGGAUUUAUUGGGUUGAAAGGGUGCGUAGGCGGAUUGGUAAGUUAGAGGUGAAAUGUCCGGGCUUAACUCGGGAACUGCCUCUAAUACUGUUGAUCUAGAGAGUAGAUGCGGUAGGCGGAAUGUAUGGUGUAGCGGUGAAAUGCUUAGAGAUCAUACAGAACACCGAUUGCGAAGGCAGCUUACUAGACUGCCACUGACAUUGAUGCUCGAAAGUGUGGGUAUCAAACAGGAUUAGAUACCCCGGUAGUC
rnacentral:rRNA from 1 species